rnacentral:misc_RNA from 1 species
GGGAGAGGUAUAAUGGGGAAUGCUGGAAAUGGCUUUGGCCAGGGCAUUGGUGCUACCCCUCCAUUAUUGCAUCCCAGUUCAAUGAUGGGGCAAGGGUUUGAUCCAGCGUUUGGCGCACCUAUGGGGAGAAUGGGGACUUAUGGGGGCUUUCCUGGGGCUCCUACGCCUCCAUUUUCAGGGAUUCUAUCUUCCUUCCCGCCUGUUGGAGGUGUGGGGUUGCCUGGAGUGGCACCACAUGUAAAUCCAGCAUUUUUUGGAAGAGGAAUGCCAAUGAAUGGCAUGGGAAUGAUGCCUGCAACUGGUGUUGAUGGAACCAAUAUGGGAAUGUGGUCAGAUCCUAUUAUGGGUGGAUGGGUUGGGGAGGAGCAUGGUGGUGGAAGAGCUGGCGAGUCUAGUUAUGGUGAGGAAGCUGCAUCUGAUCAUCAGUAUGGUGAGGUUAGUCAUGAUAGAGGAGGUUGGCAGAACACCAUUAAGGAGAAAGAUAGAGCUUCAGAAAGAGACUGGUCUGGAUCCUCUGAUAGAAGGUAUCGAGAUGAUAGGGAAGCUGGUUAUGAUAGAGAUAUGCCUAGAGAAAAAGAUAUGGGUGGUCAUGAUCAUGACUGGUCGGAGAAAAGGCAUCGUGAUGAAAGGGAUGUUGGUAGAGAAAGGGAGAGGGAGCGUGAAAGGGAUAGGGAACGAUCCAGAGACCGUGAACGUGAGCGAGAAAGGGAUCGCGAUCGGGACAGGGAUCGUGAUCGUUGUAGGGAAGACCGGGAUAGAUAUGUUGAUCAUCAUAGGUACAGGGACCGUGAAGUGGACCAUGAUGAUGAUUGGGACAGGGGUAGGUCAUCACGGACUCACAGCAAAUCAAGAAUAUCACAAGAGGAGGAGCAUCGUUCAAGAUCAAGGGAUGCUGAUUAUGGAAAGAGACGAAGGCUUACAUCUGAGUAACAUAGUAAUCAACCUAUUAUUAGCAAAAUUCAGAAAGUAUUGGGUUCAUCAAAUUUCUUUUGAAUCUCAUUGAAGAGGUGUUUUUGGGUUCUUCAUUUCUUUAACAGCAGUUCUCAGUUCAUUGCCUGAAGUUUUUCUGGUUGCUUCUUCCCAUGGCAGCAUGGUUACAUUAUCUUGCAAAAGGACUUGAAGGCAUAUGAUCUUGAGAAUCAAGGCUGUUCGACAGAGUUGUAGGUUAUAAACAGAGAUGACAAGUACCUCAACCUUCUAUUUGAGAACUGCAUGGUGGUUGCUAUUUUGCCUGCAUUGAUGUAGAAGUGGAACUUUUGGUUUUAAGUUGUUAGCUUUCCUUUCUCGUUUAUUUUUCAAUUAAUUAACACUUGAUCAUCAAACCAAUGUUGUGGAUUAUGUUAUGGCUUGAAAUUGCUGAAGUCUGGAUGUGGUAGAUUAAUAUAGAUCUUACUGUUUGAAUGUGAUGUAAUAGGAUUUAGAUUAGAGGAUGUUAC